UGAUAGUAGCCCUUGUGCGUUCUCCUUUUUCUGUCCUUGUCCUUUAUAAUGAAUUUUCAAUAGCAUUUCUCUUUCACUUUCUCCCUUCCUCUUCGAUUUUAUUCUCGCAGAAUAUUAUCAGUUACGUAGGCCUUCUGACCAAGAUUAUCGUGCCUCUGCUUUGCUCAUUUAGUCUGUCCUGAAUCAUGGUACGAUACAGACAUAUUCGGUGGAAUUAGUUUUUUUUUAGGGAGAAUUUUCUCCUAUUUCUUUAAAAAUGUGAAAAGUAAAUAUCUUAAUUAAUUACUAAAUGAAAAUGGUAGUCAGUCUGUGAAAGUUUCCUCCGUUUUUAGUUUUCUUCAUAUGUUAAAAUACCACAGUCAUUAGUGAAACAGAAAUGUAAAAUCUUCAAAUUUGUGACCAAAUCCGCUUUAAAAAACGGUCCCAGCUUUACCACUACCAGAAUUUCAACUACAGGCAAUCCAGACUUCAACUUUAGAUCAACUGCCUUCCUGGUUCCUAUAGCUUCAAAUUCACAUGAGAGCUCCGUUUCAAGUCGCCUACAAUUCGCCACCUGGAUUACGAGCAAAUUACAAAAAGGAUUAGUAAUCCAGCAGAUCCAGCCCAAAAUCAGAAGAAGAUAGGGAUUUCUGGGGGAAGUUAAUUUGUGUGCGAAAUGAAAUAAUACGUGAAAAUUAUAUUGAUUGUGAAAAGUUUCAAAUAAAUACAUCGAUAAUCUAAAAUAAUACAAGUGUUUGGGGCCCCUCACUUCUGCGAUAUGUGCAUACAGCGGUCCCAGCUUUACCACUACCAGAAUUUCAACUACAGGCCAUCCAGACUACAACUUUAUCAUCAACUGCCUUCCUGUUCCUAUAGCUUCAAAUUCACAUAAGAGCUCCGUUCGAAGUCGCCUACAAUUCACCACCUGGAUUACGAGCAAAUUACAAAAAGGAUUAUAAUCCAGCAGAUCCAGCCCAAAAUCAGAAGAAGAUAGGGAUUUCUGGGGGAAGUUAAUUUGUGCGCGAAAAAAUUAAACAUGAAAAUUAUAUGAGUGUGAAAAGUUUUCAAAUAAAUACAUCGAUAAUCUAAAAUAAUACAAGUGUUUGGGGCUCCUCACUUCUGUGAUAUGUGCAUACAGGUAUUUGUAGAAUUUAAAAUUUAUAAUUUCUAAAAUUUAUUAAUUCGUAAAAUCUUUAAACCGUUAUUAAUAUUGUAAAGUUUGAAUUCUGGGGAAUAUUCAUCUCAAAUAGUUUUUUGUAUUGCUCUUUAAUAUUUUUCUGUUUUUUGUAAAUUAUACAACUGACUACCACUACUGUUU